rnacentral:rRNA from 1 species
UACAGAGGGUGCGAGCGUUGUCCGGAAUCACUGGGCGUAAAGGGCGCGUAGGCGGCUCGGUAAGCGUGCGGUGAAAGCCCGGGGCUCAACCCCGGGUCGGCCGUGCGAACUGCAGAGCUGGAGCACUGUAGAGGCAGGUGGAAUUCCGGGUGUAGCGGUGGAAUGCGUAGAGAUCCGGAAGAACACCGGUGGCGAAGGCGGCCUGCUGGGCAGUGGCUGACGCUGAGGCGCGACAGCGUGGGGAGCAAACAGG